rnacentral:misc_RNA from 1 species
CAGAAGAAAGUGUAUCUACAUCCGAAAGCAGUAUAACACCUCCAGACGAAAAACCCUGACUUGAAUAACUUUGAAUAGCUGACUCAUGAGAUCCAAAGGAUUCAAUUGUAGGUGUACCGUUACCAGAAAGAUCUUUUCCAAUAAAAUUACCACCAAUGUUACCUGAUGAAUUCAGAGUUAGGUUUACGCCAGUCGAGGAUGCUUCCAACCUCACAUAUUUUCCAGUAAGCCUUUGUAUAUAAUCAACUUUAUCUUCAUCUUCACAUGUCACAAAGACAACCUUCUCUUGCCGGGCCCUAACACCAAGAUGAGAUAAGUGAGGCAGCUCCUGAAGAAGCACAACUCCCACUAUGUUACUACUAGCAGCUGUUACCUCUUCAUCUCCAUCAGCUUUGUUGACCACAAGAAUAACAGGUCCUAUGGUUGAUGGUAAUGAUCCAGGCACAAUGCUCUCAACCUGAAACAAUUUUCCACGAGCAGCUCCAGGUACAAGAACAUCCCAACCCUGAGAACCAAGUGUAUUUCUAACUGCUUUCAAAAACAAGGUACAGAGUUUCGAAACCUGAAAAAUUACCCCAGCACGAAUCUCAGCUUCCGUGUACGUUCUUACACUGUUUUCAGGAAUUCCAAGUGCUUUUCCAAGCAUCUGUACUUUUGGUGGAAAUAUUUGAAGAAGUGUUUCAGAAUAUUCCUCAGUUAGCCUUCUUGCUCUAUCAAGAGUAGCUUUCAGCCUCAGUGCCCAAAUUAUUUUGCCAUCCUCACUUCCUUCCUUUUCAAAGAGACCUUUCUCUUGCCAGGCAAGGAGCUCAGAUUCAAUAGCUGCACAUUCAUCUGGCUUCCAACCAGACAAACUCAGCUGGUGAACACCAAAAAUGAGGGCACCAAGUGGGUCAUUCCAAGAGCUUACAUUCUUUAAUUCCACAUUGUCUGAAAGCCACUUAGCCCCUCCCACAUUUUCAAGUGCGUUGAGCAACCUGCUUAGGAGAACAAAAGAAUAGUCCUCGAGGCCAAUUUCACAAAGACGCCAUUUUUGUCGCAUAGCUAUUGCAGCAUCAGGAGCAUCAUUCCUAAGACCACUCUCAAGACCCUCUACAAUUAUAUUUCUUAAAGCAUUCAGAGAUCGUAAGGUCGUGAUCAGUUGAAAAUUAUUGCUGGAUUCUUCAGAAGUAUCCAAGUUCUUUUUACAUUCCAAAAACAAUGUAAGAGCCGAUAAACCUCUUUCAUCCAAGGAUUCUC